rnacentral:rRNA from 1 species
UAACUUCGGAAACCGGAGCUAAUACCGGAUAAUAUAUUGAACCGCAUGGUUCAAUAGUGAAAGACGGUUUUGUCUGUCACUUAUAGAUGGAUCCGCGCUGCAUUAGCUAGUUGGUAAGGUAACGGCUUACCAAGGCAACGAUGCGUAGCCGACCUGAGAGGGUGAUCGGCCACACUGGAACUGAGACACGGUCCAGACUCCUACGGGAGGCAGCAGAG